GGCUGAGAGUGAAAAUGGUGGCCUCCUAAUCUCCGCCCGGGAGGAGCCGAGAACUCGGGGCCCCGCUCCUCAGUGAGCCCCCAGAGAGAAGCUGUGAGUCACUCCCGUCUCCCCGGUCUCUGGCCGCACUCCGUGCUCACCCGGCCUGUGACCAGGCGUUUCUAUCUCUGACACCCGACCCCGUUUGGAGUCUCCAAACGCAACAGAUUCCUGCGGUGUGCUCCUGCGCCGCUCCUCCCCGGGGAGGAAGAGAGUAUGCAUGUGCACAAUCAGGGGAGCUGCAGAGGGAGAGUGAGAAACAGGCUCCUCACCAAGCAGGGAGCCUGACGUGGGGCUCAAUCCCAGGACCUCGGGAUCAUGACCUGAGCCAAAGGCAGACGCUUAACCUACCGAGCCACCCAGGCACCCCUAGAAUUCAGCCCUAACAUCACAACCUGAGCCAAAGCCAAGAGUCGGAUGUUCAACUAACUGAGCCACCCAGGUGCCCCUGCUUUUCAUGUUAAAAUGAGGUAUCUUUACUUCCAAAAUGACCAUUAAGGUCUACCAAUAAAGCACUGGUUAA